rnacentral:rRNA from 1 species
AUGAAGAAGUUGAAGAUAAAUGGAGAAUGGAAGGCCAAGUGUAAUUGGUGUCAUAAGACACUUACCGCAGGAUCAAGGAAUGGUACUAAGCAUCUAAAGUUGCAUCUUCAGAGUUGCACUCUUAGGAAGUUGAAGACGAAGGAUGGUAAAACUUUGCAUCAAUCCUCAUUGAAGGUGAUGGCCGAGAAUGAUGGGACAGUGAGCAUGGAGAGCUACACUUUUAAUCAAGAGUACGCUAGAGCAGAGCUUGGCAACAUGUUGGUGUUGCAUGAUUAUCCUUUGUCUAUGGUGGACCAUGUUGGUUUUAGGAGAUUUGCUGCACUUCAGCCAUUGUUCAAGCUGCAUACUAGAAAUACUAUUAGGUAA